rnacentral:rRNA from 1 species
GCCAGACUCCUACGGGCGGCAGCAGUGAGGCCUCUUGGUCAAUGGGGUCCGCCCUGAAGCCGCCCCGCCGCGUGGCGGCUGAAGGUUUUCGGAUUGUAAACUCCUUUUGUUAGAGCCGCUCAUAACGGUCUCUCCCGAAUAAGCACCGGCUAACUCCGUGCCCGCAGCCGCGGUCCUACGGAGGGUGCACGCGUUACUCGGCCUCACUGGGCGUAAAGAGCGCGGAGGCGGGAUAGCAAGGCAGAUGUGAAAGCCUAUGGCUGAACCAGAGAACGGCAUGGGAAACGGUGAGGCUAGAGGAGGGGAGAGGUAGGGGGAAUUCUUGGGGGAGGGGUAAAAGCCGGAGAGAUCAAGAGGAAGACUCAUUGCGAAGGCGACCUGCGAGAACAUAACUGACGCGGAUGCGCGAAAGCGGGGGGAGCAAACAGGAGGAGAGACCCGGGUA